AUUCUGCCCAUACAGGGAAGGAUGAGAAGCUUCGAUCCAAGGUUCGACUCGAGCGCCAGCGAGAGAGCGUUGCCGCAGGCAACGACCCGCAGCGCUGAGUAAUCCUUCCCCCACCACCC
rnacentral:sRNA from 1 species